GGAAACUCUUCCAGUGCCUGGAGCAAGUAUUGCUUCCUGAACAUCAAGAUACAGUGAGAAGAGUAAAAGCAACACCCACCUUGAGGCAGCUUCCUGAUAGUGCUAGGCAGCUGGGCUCCCUUGGUCUCUCUGCAGUCAGUAAGGGGAAGCAGGCGCCUCCAGAGGAAGUCACAACCCAGAAGCCUGUGUUCACUCACUAUAGACAAUAUUUUGGAAGAUGAGGCUAUCGUUUGGCGACGGUGUCCUUCAGGUUGUGAAGAGUCCCAUCCAGAUCACUGCCCUUUCAUGGUUGUUAUGGCGGCCCUGUGACUUCAGCUAAUCUUGGUACUUAAUAUCCAUAGAAACAAUUGCUUCUACAAUGGACAAGAGGACAGCUAACAGGCUAGAUUAAAAUGAAGAUUACAUAUAAAAUCAC
rnacentral:lncRNA from 1 species